ensembl:snRNA U6 U6 spliceosomal RNA
AUGCUCACUUCAUCAGCAUAUAUAGUAAAAUCAGAACACAGAUUAGCAUGGUCUCUGCUCAAGCAUGACACAAAAAUUCCUGAAGCACUGCAUAUUUUC